rnacentral:rRNA from 1 species
AAUAGAUACCCAGGUAGUCCAUGCCGUAAACGUUCGGGCACUAGGUGUGGGGCUCAUUCCACGAGUUCCGUGCCGCAGCAAACGCAUUAAGUGCCCCGCCUGGGGAGUACGGCCGCAAGGCUAAAACUCAAAGGAAUUGACGGGGGCCCGCACAAGCGGCGGAGCAUGCGGAUUAAUUCGAUGCAACGCGAAGAACCUUACCAAGGCUUGACAUGCACGGGAAGCCACCAGAGAUGGUGGUCUCUUUGGACACUCGUGCACAGGUGGUGCAUGGUUGUCGUCAGCUCGUGUCGUGAGAUGUUGGGUUAAGUCCCGCAACGAGCGCAACCCUCGUCCCAUGUUGCCAGCGGGUUAUGCCGGGGACUCAUGGGAGACUGCCGGGGUCAACUCGGAGGAAGGUGGGGAUGACGUCAAAUCAUCAUGCCCCUUAUGUCUUGGGCUUCACGCAUGCUACAAUGGCCGGUACAAAGGGCUGCGAUGCCGUAAGGUGGAGCGAAUCCCAAAAGCCGGUCUCAGUUCGGAUUGGGGUCG